rnacentral:lncRNA from 1 species
AGGGCAGCCACAAAGGGCCAGACAUGUAAGCUGAGGCUGUUGGUAGAGCUCAGGGAAGAGCAACCCAAGGUGAAGACACAAGGUGUGUACAAUUCUGGGCAUACCUCAACAACGGAAAGACUAGUGAAGCUGGCCCAGGAAUGGGGAACCGAACUGGCAGAUACAAGAUCAGGUGAGGUAGCAAAGGCCAUUCCUCCUCCAUUGUGCUGUGUUCAAGAAAACUGCAGAGUUAAGAAAGAACAAGGAUCAUCAAUCAGGACUUCUGGGACUUUCAUUUUUAACCAGAGUUGAAAACACAGGGGCUUGGAGACCUUUCUGGUAACCCUUUAAACUGAAGUCAAAGGGUUCAAAAAGAAAAGGAAAGUCUAUGAAAUAUAUACCGAAGGCAGAAACCACAGUGAGAGAGGGAAGUAAUAUGUGAUUUGGGAUAGAUGCCUUUGACAUAUUCAUUGAUCUCAGUGACUUGCAGAGUGCUGAUAGCACUCUGGCCUCAGGGUGAGGCGCCUUGCCAGCUUCCAGAUCAAAGGAGUGCCUAGGUGCUGAAUCCCUGGCGUACUCCCAAGCAAAAGUGCCUGGAGCCACAUUUGCUAAUUACAGGUUGUGUUCUGCUGUUUCCAAACAGGGUGAAAGUGACAGAAGUUUAACUGUGAAUAAUUACACACUUGAAUAAGUAUGUGAUUAGCACUAUUUGUUGUGGUUGGGACUGGAGUGAUGGGACAAGAAUGGAGUGAUUGCAUUAUUUACAGCUUAAUUGUAGACAAGUAAUUACUUAUGUAAGCUGAUGGUGUGAGGUCACAGAGGACCUGCAAAAGAAUGUAGAUGAUCUGAAAUUCAACUUCUCAAGCCAGUCACUGCGCCUCCCCCAUCCCUUUUGAGCUUGAUAAAGAGAACCAACUAUGCAUUUCUUGAAUGAAAUGCUUAGGAAUGUUAAAUGUCUUGUUCAGUCUAAGCAAAGGAUCAGCAGAGAUAUUUUAAAAAUCUCAGCUUCCAAAGUAAUAAAUCACAAAUGCCACCUAGUGGCUUUUAGUAUCCAGUGGCUGCAUUAUCUGUAGACUGUAGCUAUAGCCCAGUUAAGGAGAGGACUUUUCUAGUCGGGGAGUGGGUUGUUCAGUUAGGAAAAUUGAGAUGAAUGGACCAGGACUCAAAGUCCUUCAGCCUGCCUCUCCCUUCACUCAGCUCUACUAGAACAUCAGAGCUGAAAACUCCCCCCACCUUACACCAUUGUAACUUCCAGUAGUGCAGUAGAAAUUUGACUGCAAAUCACUGUGCAGUUUUUAUUUUCCCCUGAGCCACUAACAUAAUAAAUGAGGAAGUCAACAGCUUUCAUGAUUUGGGAGUAGAUUCAUGGUUGCAUUUUGCUGGCUGCCGCUUCUCAUUCACAAGGUGGUUGAAAGCCACUUUUCCAAUAUCACAUGCCUGGUUUCAAGUGUUCAGGUCUAGAUUUAAAUCUGGAGGGAUUCUGUUGUCAUAGACCCUCCCAGGGAGUGUGCUAUUUGAGAAAUGUAUUGAGAAAGGUGGGGUUGAGAGAAUGAACAGCCCUCUCCCCAGCUUGUUUUUAUAAUAUUGCUAAAAAUAAAUAGACAAAUCAAUUUUCCUCUAACAGCUCAACACUGGACAAGUAAAAUUCUUUGACUAAGAUGCAGAAAAUAUUGCUGUAAACCCAACAGCACAAGCUGAGAGUGAUGUCUUCUGGCUUUCAAGUUUUAAAACCUGUAUGCCCUUGAUCCUACUCCUUCCUCCACUAUUCACCUCCUUGGAAAUCUGAGAGACAUUCAUGUCCCAGGAGUGACCAGCUUGAAGAGAGCUGAAACCCAGCCCCAUUGCACAGCUGGCUCCCAAGGAUCUAUCUUGGCUCUCGACUUCCUAAAUACAGAGUUUAUUUCACCUCCUGGCUCCCUUGUGGAUGUAGGGGCCAUGGGACUAGUUCUGGACGAGGCAUCGUAAAGGAAAAUGAUAUGUGUCAACUUAGGGCUGAGCAUUUAAUUGAUUGCCCAAGACCUCCAAGUCUUGCUGUGUUCUUUGGCAUACUACACAGUGAUGUUUGCAGUGGGAGCUACUCUGUUAGCCUGGGUGACUAAAUGAUAAUGAUAUGCAAAGCCUCCUUGUUGAUCUAUGAUGAGCACCCAGCUAACUUCUCUACCCUGGAGGAUCAGGUGAAAGAAAAACACCAGAUGGGAAGAAAAGUGGAGAGAAUGAUUGAGCCUGGAACCUCAGCAUGGCAUUAUCCACAUGGGCUGUUUUAUCAGUAUGCCUUUUUGUAACCCCAGAUAAGGGAAAACUGUAGCCAGAAAAAGAUGAAAACAGGGAAAUUCAACCAUUGCAGGCAUUUAUUCUUAUCUUUUGUUUUUAUAAAGA